GGAGGACGAAUUCAGUGAGACAAAUGGAAAAGCACUCACUGCAAGGACUUCCACUUGGAAAACAAGCAGUCACAAGUCAGGUUUGAUGAAGUGGUUUGUGCUGCUGCCUUCUCUUACUCUGAAAACUCAAGCUGUUAUCUGACCUAUUUCUCCUCAAAGGCAAACCUUCCAUCUGCCAACCCGGCCUCUAUGCUUUUGCAGCAGUUACAGGAAUAACGGAUAUAUGGACCCUGGAGUCACUGCAUUUGUACCAUCUACACUGCUUGAUGCUUGAGAGUUGAGUAGCAGCUCAAGGACCUCACAUCUGAGUGAACUGUAAUGAUAUCUGCCAAGGUCCUGGCUCAGCAGCAGGAAGACACACUUUGCUCUCCAAUUGGGUGGAAAUCAGAACUUCUUACAAGUAACCUCUGCAAAUAUCCAUCAUGCCCC